UGGGGAAUAGUUUAGCGGUAGAACUUCCGGCUCUGGACCGGGCAACUGUGGUUCGAAUCCACGUUCCCCAGCCA
rnacentral:tRNA from 1 species